rnacentral:rRNA from 1 species
AAGGCCACAGCUCAACUGUGGAGCGGCAGUGGAAACUGGAGAGCUAGAGCAUGGUAGGGGUAGAGGGAAUUCCCCGGUGUAGCGGUGAAAUGCGUAGAUAUCGGGAAGAACACCAGUGGCGAAGGCGCUCUACUGGGCCAUGACUGACGCUGAGGGACGAAAGCUAGGGGAGCGAAAGGGAUUAGAUACCCCUGUAGUCCUAGCUGUAAACGAUGGACACUAGGUGUUGCGCGUAUCGACCCGUGCAGUAUCGAAGCUAACGCGUUAAGUGUCCCGCCUGGGGAGUACGCACGCAAGUGUGAAACUCAAAGGAAUUGACGGGGGCCCGCACAAGCGGUGGAGUAUGUGGUUUAAUUCGAUGCAACGCGAAGAACCUUACCAGGGCUUGACAUCCUGCGAAUCUUCCUGAAAGGGGAGAGUGCCUUCGGGAGCGCAGAGACAGGUGGUGCAUGGCUGUCGUCAGCUCGUGUCGUGAGAUGUUGGGUUAAGUCCCGCAACGAGCGCAACCCUCGUUUUUAGUUGCCAUCAUUCAGUUGGGCACUCUAGAGAGACUGCCGGGGACAACUCGGAGGAAGGUGGGGACGACGUCAAGUCAUCAUGCCCCUUACGUCCUGGGCUACACACGUACUACAAUGCUGCGGACAGAGGGCAGCGAACUCGCGAGAGUAAGCAAAUCCCAUAAACCGCGGCCCAGUUCAGAUUGCAGGCUGCAACUCGCCUGCAUGAAGGAGGAAUCGCUAGUAAUCGCCGGUCAGCAUACGGCGGUGAAUACGUUCCCGGGCCUUGUACACACCGCCCGUCACACCAUGGGAGUUGGCCACGCCCGAAGUCGUUACUCUAAC